ACCUGGGCUACAUCAUCACCCUUCUGCUUUAGAUGAUUUAACAAAUACUCUCCAAUGGAGAUUUGUGGAACAGGAGGCAAGCUCUUCCCACGGAGAACAUUAUCAUCAUCCAUUUUAAUUAAAGCUACAGCUAUAUUGCAGUCCUGGUUUUUUUUGUUUUGUUUUGUUUGGCACCGCGCAGCGCAGCCUCACCACCUCACCGCGCCGUCGUGGACCAGGACACACACUGCCGUCCUUGGAAUUACGUGCGACUUAAAGCGACUGCACAAGAC